GCAUAUCAAUAAGCGGAGGAAAAGAAACCCACGCGUAUUGCCUCAGUACGGCGAGUGAGCGGCAAAAGCUCAAAUUUGAAAUCUGGUACCUUCGGUGCCCGAGUUGUAAUUUGAAGAUAGUUUUCUGGUUCAGGCUCCUUGUCUAUGUUCCUUGGAACAGGACGUCAUAGAGGGUGAGAAUCCCGUCUGGCGGGGAGCUUUGUUCCAUGUAGAUUUCUAUCGACGAGUCGAGUUGUUUGGGAAUGCAGCUCUAAGUGGGUGGUAAAUUCCAUCUAAAGCUAAAUAUUGGCGAGAGACCGAUAGCGAACAAGUACAGUGAUGGAAAGAUGAAAAGAACUUUGAAAAGAGAGUGAAAAAGUACGUGAAAUUGUUGAAAGGGAAGGAUAUUGGAUCAGACUUGGUGUUGCAUGAUUAUCUUCCCCUCGUGGGUUGUGCACUCGUGCUUCACUGGGCCAGCAUCGGUUCGGACGGUAAGAUAAUGACAUUGGAAUGUGGCUCUGGCUUCGGCUAGAGUGUUAUAGCCCUUGUUGAUGUUGCCUGUCUGGACCGAGGACUGCGGCUUCUGCCUAGGAUGCUGGCGUAAUGAUUCAAUAUCGCCCGUCUUGAAACACGGACC
rnacentral:rRNA from 1 species